GCAGUGGGGAAUUUUGGACAAUGGGCGAAAGCCUGAUCCAGCAAUGCCGCGUGUGUGAAGAAGGCCUUCGGGUUGUAAAGCACUUUUGUCCGGAAAGAAAUCCUUGGCUCUAAUACAGUCGGGGGAUGACGGUACCGGAAGAAUAAGCACCGGCUAACUACGUGCCAGCAGCCGCGGUAAUACGUAGGGUGCGAGCGUUAAUCGGAAUUACUGGGCGUAAAGCGUGCGCAGGCGGUUUGCUAAGACCGAUGUGAAAUCCCCGGGCUCAACCUGGGAACUGCAUUGGUGACUGGCAGGCUAGAGUAUGGCAGAGGGGGGUAGAAUUCCACGUGUAGCAGUGAAAUGCGUAGAGAUGUGGAGGAAUACCGAUGGCGAAGGCAGCCCCCUGGGCCAAUACUGACGCUCAUGCACGAAAGCGUGGGGAGCAAACAGGAUUAGAUACCCUGGUAGUCCACGCCCUAAACGAUGUCAACUAGUUGUUGGGGAUUCAUUUCCUUAGUAACGUAGCUAACGCGUGAAGUUGACCGCCUGGGGAGUACGGUCGCAAGAUUAAAACUCAAAGGAAUUGACGGGGACCCGCACAAGCGGUGGAUGAUGUGGAUUAAUUCGAUGCAACGCGAAAAACCUUACCUACCCUUGACAUGGUCGGAAUCCCGCUGAGAGGUGGGAGUGCUCGAAAGAGAACCGGCGCACAGGUGCUGCAUGGCUGUCGUCAGCUCGUGUCGUGAGAUGUUGGGUUAAGUCCCGCAACGAGCGCAACCCUUGUCCUUAGUUGCUACGCAAGAGCACUCUAAGGAGACUGCCGGUGACAAACCGGAGGAAGGUGGGGAUGACGUCAAGUCCUCAUGGCCCUUAUGGGUAGGGCUUCACACGUCAUACAAUGGUCGGAACAGAGGGUUGCCAACCCGCGAGGGGGAGCUAAUCCCAGAAAACCGAUCGUAGUCCGGAUUGCACUCUGCAACUCGAGUGCAUGAAGCUGGAAUCGCUAGUAAUCGCGGAUCAGCAUGCCGCGGUGAAUUCAUUCCCGGGCCUUGUACACACCGC
rnacentral:rRNA from 1 species